UAGGGAAUCUUCCACAAUGGACGCAAGUCUGAUGGAGCAACGCCGCGUGAGUGAAGAAGGUCUUCGGAUCGUAAAACUCUGUUGUUAGAGAAGAACACGAGUGAGAGUAACUGUUCAUUCGAUGACGGUAUCUAACCAGCAAGUCACGGCUAACUACGUGCCAGCAGCCGCGGUAAUACGUAGGUGGCAAGCGUUGUCCGGAUUUAUUGGGCGUAAAGGGAACGCAGGCGGUCUUUUAAGUCUGAUGUGAAAGCCUUCGGCUUAACCGGAGUAGUGCAUUGGAAACUGGAAGACUUGAGUGCAGAAGAGGAGAGUGGAACUCCAUGUGUAGCGGUGAAAUGCGUAGAUAUAUGGAAGAACACCAGUGGCGAAAGCGGCUCUCUGGUCUGUAACUGACGCUGAGGUUCGAAAGCGUGGGUAGCAAACAGGAUUAGAUACCCUGGUAGUCCACGCCGUAAACGAUGAGUGCUAGGUGUUAGACCCUUUCCGGGGUUUAGUGCCGCAGCUAACGCAUUAAGCACUCCGCCUGGGGANUACGACCGCAAGGUUG
rnacentral:rRNA from 1 species